UUGAGUAACCACAAAAUUUCACUACGUCUUACUUGAUAACUCUCUGUUCGUGGCAAAUCUUUGUAUCCUUCUAUAUUAAUACACAUAAUAUUUAUCAUGUUUUACAGUAUCCUACACCUCUGCAGUCCAAACCUGAUCCAAAUCCAAAUCUGCCGUAAUGGGGGGUUUGAAUGUCCCUGCUGCAGUUUCACCACUGAAGACAAGUUCUCUUUUACACUUCACCUAGAGAACCACAUAGGUCAUGCAGUGGAGCAUGGAGGUUACUUCAUCUUAAAAUGAAUGGCCCAUGGAAGAUCAUUAAAACCAAGGAUGACAUCCCUCAGCUCCGAAGGUGGUGGUGUCGUUUGCUCUUGCAAAACAUGUCACAUCCAAGGUACACACAACUGGUUAAUGAAAUUAAAUUAAAUGGAUUCUUCUGCAUCCAAACUACCCAGACACACUAAAUGUUUCCUCCUAGAAUGUUAAGCAGUAACUAAACUUUGGAGGGGCCACAAUGUUGAAUGUUUAGAAAUGUGUUGAAUGCUUUGAGUGGUUGGAAAUACUAAAAAUAUGCUCUACAUAUGGUCCAUUUACCUAACCUUUGAGUCUGUCUUUAAGUUGUCAGAGUCCACCAUCACCAAACAGCCAGCUAGUACGGAAACUGUGAUGGGUCAAGAUGACAGUGAUGAGAAGAUCAAAGAGGAAGUUCGAAGAGGAACAUAAGGGACAUUGGUGUAGCAUGGUGCUGGGUUCAGAGCCACUGUGAGCUGUUCCAUGGAGAGGUGACAGAGCCUGAAUUUCUCCAGAUGGACGAAGAAAAACAGUCUAAUAUAAUCAAAGACUACCUGAAAGGAGAGACUGAGAAAGCAAGGGAUGCCUGUGUGUUUGUCUUUGACAAUCGCGAGGAUAUGGAAACAUUCUUAUUAAAAUGUAUUUAUGAACAGGGGCUGACAGUCAAUGCCAUGUUUCUGGGAGUAAUUUAAUUUAUAAUAAUUUAUUUACUCUACAUUGUUGAAUAUUAUUGUUUUGUGAA